UGGGCUGUAGCUCAGUGGCAGAGCACUUGCCUAGCAUGUAUGAGGCACUGGGUUUGAUCCUUAGCACCACAU
rnacentral:tRNA from 1 species